AUGUCGUCGUCGUCGCCGCCGCUGUCGCCUCGCGGGGCGGAGGAGGAGGAGGAGGGGGGCGCCAGGAGCGGCGGCGGCGUUGGCGGCGGCACGGUGUUCAGCUACGGGGAGGCGGGGUACUGGGACGCGCGCUACGUGGAGGAGGGCGGCGCGCCCUACGACUGGUACCAGCGCUACGCCGCGCUGCGCCCCUUCGUCCGCCGCUCCGUGCCGCCGGACUCGCGCCUCCUCAUGAUCGGCUGCGGCUCCGCGCUUAUGUCAGAGGAUAUGGCCGCUGAUGGCUACAUGGAGAUAAUAAACAUUGACAUUUCUUCGGUUUUAAUUGAGAUGAUGAGGAAGAAGUACUUCGAUCUUCCACAGCUACAAUACAUGCAAAUGGAUGUUAGAGAUAUGAGUAAAUUCUCUGACGAAUCAUUUGAUUGUGCCAUUGAUAAAGGUACUUUGGACUCUUUGAUGUGUGGUGUGGAGGCUCCUCUCAGCGCAGCUCAGAUGGUCCUGGAAGUGGACAGGCUACUUAAACCAGGGGGAGUCUUUAUGUUGAUAACUUAUGGUGAUCCAUCAGCGCGAAUUCCUCACCUGAACCAACCAGUAUGCAGUUGGAAAAUUGUACUGUACAUUCUGCCAAGACCUGGAUUCAAGGGAAACAUAAGAAGAUCUGUCUUCGACCCUGUUCCACUUACUGAGAGUGGUAGAUUGCCCGAGGGCUUUGUUCUGGAGGAUCCUGACUCUCAUUAUAUUUAUGUCUGCAAAAAGGGCCAAGAAUUAACAGGGAUAGAUUCUCCAACGUUAAGCCACUUGAAGUUGCAAGAUUCCGAGUGA
rnacentral:rRNA from 1 species